AUGAACGCUGGCGGCGUGCCUAAUACAUGCAAGUCGAGCGAACGGACGAGAAGCUUGCUUCUCUGAUGUUAGCGGCGGACGGGUGAGUAACACGUGGAUAACCUACCUAUAAGACUGGGAUAACUUCGGGAAACCGGAGCUAAUACCGGAUAAUAUUUUGAACCGCAUGGUUCCAAAGUAAAAGACGGUCUUGCUGUCACUUAUAGAUGGAUCCGCGCUGCAUUAGCUAGUUGGUAAGGUAACGGCUUACCAAGGCAACGAUGCAUAGCCGACCUGAGAGGGUGAUCGGCCACACUGGAACUGAGACACGGUCCAGACUCCUACGGGAGGCAGCAGUAGGGAAUCUUCCGCAAUGGGCGAAAGCCUGACGGAGCAACGCCGCGUGAGUGAUGAAGGUCUUCGGAUCGUAAAACUCUGUUAUUAGGGAAGAACAUAUGUGUAAGUAACUGUGCACAUCUUGACGGUACCUAAUCAGAAAGCCACGGCUAACUACGUG
rnacentral:rRNA from 1 species